rnacentral:rRNA from 1 species
ACGUAGGGUGCGAGCGUUGUCCGGAAUUAUUGGGCGUAAAGGGCUCGUAGGCGGUUUGUCGCGUCGGGAGUGAAAACCUUGGGCUUAACUCAGGGCUUGCUUUCGAUACGGGCAGACUAGAGGUAUGCAGGGGAGAACGGAAUUCCUGGUGUAGCGGUGAAAUGCGCAGAUAUCAGGAGGAACACCGGUGGCGAAGGCGGGUCUCUGGGCAGUAACUGACGCUGAGGAACGAAAGCGUGGGUAGCGAACAGGA